rnacentral:rRNA from 1 species
GAUGAACGCUGGCGGCGUGCCUAAUACAUGCAAGUCGAGCGAACAGACGAGGAGCUUGCUCCUCUGACGUUAGCGGCGGACGGGUGAGUAACACGUGGAUAACCUACCUAUAAGACUGGGAUAACUUCGGGAAACCGGAGCUAAUACCGGAUAAUAUAUUGAACCGCAUGGUUCAAUAGUGAAAGACGGUUUUGUUGUCACUUAUAGAUGGAUCCGCGCCGCAUCAGCUAGUUGGUAAGGUAACGGCUUACCAAGGCAACGAUGCGUAGCCGACCUGAGAGGGUGAUCGGCCACACUGGAGCUGAGACACGGUCCAGACUCCUACGGGAGGCAGCAGUAGGGAAUCUUCCGCAAUGGGCGAAAGCUUGACGGAGCAACGCCGCGUGAGUGAUGAAGGUCUUCGGAUCGUAAAGCUCUGUUAUUAGGGAAGAACAAAUGUGUAAGUAACUAUGCACGUCUUGACGGUACCUAAUCAGAAAGCCACGGCUAACUACGUG